rnacentral:rRNA from 1 species
GCCUAACCUUAACAUACAAUUAAACCACCAAUUGUCCGCCAAACAACUACGAGUUAUACUUAAAACUUAAAAGACUUGACGGUGCUUCACCACGCCCUAGAGGAGCCUGUCUAGUAACCGAUAAUCCACGAUUAACCCAGCCCCUCCUGGCCUAACAGUCUAUAUACCGCCGUCGCCAGCUUACCUUGUAAAAGAAAUAAAGUGAGCUAAACAGCACCACACUUAAACGACAGGUCGAGGUGUAACUAAUGGGGGGNACUAAGAUGGGCUACAUUCUCUUAACCGAGAACACGAACAACACUGUGAAAUUAGUGUUUAAAGGCGGAUUUAGCAGUAAGAUAAGAAUAAAAUACUUAACUGAACAUAACGCAAUGAAGUGCGU